rnacentral:rRNA from 1 species
AGAGUUUGAUCCUGGCUCAGGAUGAACGCUGGCGGCGUGCUUAACACAUGCAAGUCGAACGAGGAAUUUUAAAUGAGACUUCGGUGGAUUUUAAAAUUCUUAGUGGCGGACGGGUGAGUAGCGCGUGGGCAACCUGCCCUGUACAGGGGGACAACAGCUGGAAACGGCUGCUAAUACCGCAUAAGCGCACAGUACCGCAUGGUACGGUGUGAAAAACUCCGGUGGUACAGGAUGGGCCCGCGUUGGAUUAGGUAGUUGGUGGGGUAACGGCCUACCAAGCCGACGAUCCAUAGCCGACCUGAGAGGGUGACCGGCCACAUUGGGACUGAGACACGGCCCAAACUCCUACGGGAGGCAGCAGUGGGGAAUAUUGCACAAUGGGGGAAACCCUGAUGCAGCGACGCCGCGUGAAGGAAGAAGUAUCUCGGUAUGUAAACUUCUAUCAGCAGGGAAGAUAGUGACGGUACCUGACUAAGAAGCCCCGGCUAACUACGUGCCAGCAGCCGCGGUAAUACGUAGGGGGCAAGCGUUAUCCGGAUUUACUGGGUGUAAAGGGAGCGUAGACGGAUUAGCAAGUCUGAUGUGAAAGGCAGGGGCUCAACCCCUGGACUGCAUUGGAAACUGCCAGUCUUGAGUGCCGGAGAGGUAAGCGGAAUUCCUAGUGUAGCGGUGAAAUGCGUAGAUAUUAGGAGGAACACCAGUGGCGAAGGCGGCUUACUGGACGGUAACUGACGUUGAGGCUCGAAAGCGUGGGGAGCAAACAGGAUUAGAUACCCUGGUAGUCCACGCGGUAAACGAUG